UUUUGACCUCGGAUCAGGUAGGGAUACCCGCUGAACUUAAGCAUAUCAAUAAGCGGAGGAAAAGAAACCAACAGGGAUUGCCCUAGUAACGGCGAGUGAAGCGGCAACAGCUCAAAUUUGAAAUCUGGCUCUUUUAGAGUCCGAGUUGUAAUUUGCAGAGGGCGCUUUGGCUUUGGCAGCGGUCCAAGUUCCUUGGAACAGGACGUCACAGAGGGUGAGAAUCCCGUACGUGGUCGCUGGCUAUUGCCGUGUAAAGCCCCUUCGACGAGUCGAGUUGUUUGGGAAUGCAGCUCUAAAUGGGAGGUACAUUUCUUCUAAAGCUAAAUAUUGGCCAGAGACCGAUAGCGCACAAGUAGAGUGAUCGAAAGAUGAAAAGCACUUUGGAAAGAGAGUCAAACAGCACGUGAAAUUGUUGAAAGGGAAGCGCUUGCAGCCAGACUUGCUUGCAGUUGCUCAUCCGGGCUUUUGCCCGGUGCACUCUUCUGUAGGCAGGCCAGCAUCAGUUUGGGCGGUGGGAUAAAGGUCUCUGUCACGUACCUCUCUUCGGGGAGGCCUUAUAGGGGAGACGACAUACCACCAGCCUGGACUGAGGUCCGCGCAUCUGCUAGGAUGCUGGCGUAAUGGCUGUAAGCGGC
rnacentral:rRNA from 2 species